UGCGUCUGGCCCAGGGUUUGGGCCACUUGGAGAGGCUGGACGCCAGAAGUUUGACUGUGUGUACCCCAUGGCUCGCUGCGCUUGGUGUCAGCUGUGACAUCACAAGGCAAGCUUCCAGAUGGCACCAACUGGGCCCUUUAUCAGUGGUUUCAGCCUCGAUGCCAAAACAAAAUGUGCCCAGCAGCCUGAUCAAAAUUUACAUGCUGAGGAGUUGCCUCCUGUGAAUGAAGUUCAGCAGAGAAUCGGUGAAUUAAUAGCCGUUCCAGGUGGAGAACGGGGUCCAUUCGACCUAGAAGCUUUGGCAGAGGGAGCAGACACAUAUUCACAAUGCUGAUUUCAUUACCAAACAACUGGCAACUGGCUUGCACCUCCACACCAACCAUUUCUGCUUCCUGCUGUCAUUUCCUUGGCUCCUUUUCAGGCACACUGUCACUUGUGGCAUGACCUUGGCCGAGCAGCUAAUUUGCUGCUUCUAUUGAAGGACAGGACCAGCCAUUCUGAUGCCCUUGACAAAGUUAGUAUUUUCACUUUAGAGCAAAUUCAAAUGAAUGGUAAUUUCCUAUCCUA